CCCCCGCCCCCGCCCCUCAGGCGCCCUGGGCGGGCUGCGGGGGCGGAAGGCGGGCCCGGGACGGAGCGGAGCGGAGCGGAGCGGGGCCUG
rnacentral:miRNA from 12 species